AAAAGUAGAUCUGAAUAUGUUUAUCUUUUUUUCAAAGCAGUUGACAGGGCAGUCACACUCAGGCAAAAGAAAACCCACACUCUAAAUAUGAGCACAGGAUGUAAAGUUGCCGCAUGGAUGAAUUAGCAGGUGCUGUGAUGUUCUGAAGCUUCUGUCGGGGCUCUUGCAGGAAAUGCUCACCCGAGCCCUCCGUGGCCCCCACAGCUUCCCGGCAGGCCCCGAAGGUUUCUGCACAGGAAAGCGAUGACUCUGCAAGGCUGUGUCUUGGCUGCUGGCGCAGAGAUACAGGGCUGAGUCUUCUGGCUGCAGGGCGCGUAGGUGAAGGUAUAAGAGAGAGCUCUUGGAGCAUUCAGGACCCCUCUCAGCAACAGACCACUCCCAUUCAAGGAAUCGCCUUCUGUCCUGCGGGAUCACACAAGACAGCACCAUUCAAAACAUCCCUUCCCUCAAUGUCUAAGCACGGUGGAGCCCUUUUUGCCUGGCUCUGUGGAGGGAGGAUGACUGCAUGACCACAGAUGCAGUGUGGACCAGCGCCCAUCAUUCAAGGGUAUGACUGUGAUGCCAACCAGCAACCAGGCACUGGGGAGGGAGCUGAGGGAGCACGAAAGGGAUGAGCCACCCUCUGUCCCUGUAGUGGAGGGCAUGAGGCUUGGCUGGGCUUCGAGCUAACAUACACAGGAUGCUGAAAAAGAACAACGCAAGGUGUGUGGUGCAAAGGAAAGGGAAAUCAGCUUGAAGCUGAUGUUAGUGUGCUUGACCUGAGUACAGCCAUGUUCUCAUUCGAGGUACGGAUGGCUCCCCGUGGGCAAGAUCCCUCCUGGGCCAUCUCUCCUCUCACUCUCUAUCCCUCCCCAGGUCCCUGCCUCAGAGGUUUCACGGGAGCACAGCUCCUCCCUGUGGCCAAAGCAGCACUUGGCCACUCACCAACCCAGUGUCAGGAUCCAGACUGGAUCCAUAUCCCACAUCCCUGGGCAGCAGGGAUGGGUUUGAAAGGCCAGGGGAGAAUGAAAAGGAAAGAGAUGUUGGCAACAAUACAGAGCGUCAACAGUCGGAACACCAGGUAUCCCCACACCUAAGACAUUCUAAAGUUUUACUCAACAGAAAUUGUCUAUGUCUGAGUCUGGGCACCGUUGCAACACCUUAUCUCUACAAAAAUUACCAAAAAUUAGCCGGAUGUAAUGGUGCAUGUCUGUAGUCCCAGCCACUCAAGAGGCUGAGGUGGGAGGAUUGCUUGAGCAGGGAAGUCAAGGCUAUAGUGAGCCUUGUGUUACUGCACUCCAGACAGAGCAAGACCGUGACCAGCUAGAGAAUAAAAAUGUAUCUUACAUGAACUUUAGGAAAUGUAAUCAGUAUGUCAGUGUUCCAUCACUUCAUAUAUGUGAUGCCACAUUUCCUCAUAUAUUAAAUCAGGGGAACUGAAAGGAGAUGAUCUCCAAAGCCCUUCCAUUUCUAAAAUGUUAGAAACCACAUUAGGUCAUCAGUUCUGUGGAGAGUUUUCCAACUUGAAACCAGCUCGAUGAAUUCCUAUGGGUCAUUUCUAUUUCGCUGCAUACGCUAUUUAUGCUUCGUGACCAUUUAUUGAAAUAUCAUCAAUUUUCUUAAAAUGUAAAGUUAUGCCAAUAUUGACUUUUCAUUCUAGAACAUGUGAAGAUACAAAUGAACACAAAUAAACACAAAAAUGAGAUGAUUCAUACUUUCUAAGGGAUUUUUACCAUCUAUUUAUUGUUGUAUUACAGCAGUAUAACCAUUUUGUGAUGAUCAUUGUAAUUGUAGGAGUGAGAUUAGGGUCGUAAAUCUAUGUUAUAUGUAAAUCUACACUCGGCCUAGGGAGAAUACUUAUCCAUGAUUUUAGUCAAGGAUUUAUAAUUUAGGUUUGUUUUAACCUGGGGAUAUGUUCAGUCAGGAAGAAAAUUUUAGCAUUCCUCUAAUGUAUACAUAUUAUCAGAUUUUCGUUGUGGCCCAUAAAGCAAAAAAAAAAAAAAAAAAAAAAAAAAAAAGAAGGUAAAGGAAUGUAGAUUGGAUUUUAAGAAAGUGGGGUUGAAUAUUCUUCCCCUCAACGGGUUACAUAUAGGAUGGACCUCUAACCUGCUAUACUAGAUAAAAACCUAAAAUUAAUCUUGUUUCAAACUCUAAUAUCAUUCCUAUUAAAAUUAUUUCAAUUGGUAUCUACUUCAGCAAGAAAACACUUUGGUCCUUCUACAAAGAAAUAGAACAAAUUUGAACAAAUAAAAAUUUAUUGCAUUGUUUAGUUCCCAAUAAGUAAACCCAAUUGCAAGGAAAAUGGAAAAAAAAAAAAAAGCAAUAGAGUUUAAACAGAAACCUUAAAUAAUGCUGGAAGUAAAAGGUUUAACUUUCCUGAGGACAAUAGCUAACUUAUGUUAGCAUUUCCCACAACAAGGGGUGGUGACCAGAGAGCUCAAGUCAUCUGAAUUAGGAAUGGAUCUAAGAAGGAAAAUGAUCUCAGGAUCGUGUGAAUUGCAAGAAGAGUGAAGAGUGGAAUGGUAAAUAUGAAAAAAGUCAAGCAAACAUAUUUAUAUAAAAUAGAAGCAGUAUAUGUGAUUGAAGACAAGAGGACUUAACUGACUCCAAGACAGCUGGGAUUUAGGACACAGAGUACUAACAAGGAGCCCCAAGAACUCGUGUAAGAAAAUCUUUUUUAUUUUUUAUUUUUCUUUCUGGGCCAGAUCCUAAGUUAUGCAUGCAGAGGGUGGCACUCCUGAAGGCCCAGCAGGGAACAAACUCUGGAAGGCUGAAGACAUGGGCAGGGAUGUCAGAAGAUACUCAGGCCCAGAAGGGAUUGGCAUUCAGACCCAGUGAGAGUGGAGAGUCGUGGUGGGAACACCAUGAUUCCCACUAAGACCCUGGAAAGGCAUGCACUAGCAAUGAUGACCACAUGCUGGGGCUCCCUAAGAGGGAGGGCAAAGCUGAAACAGACCCUAGCUAGUCCUACAUUCAACCUUCCCAGAUAAAACCCAAUACUAUUUCCAAGAGAUAACAUAAACCAGAGCCUCAAGCCUAUGUCAUCCACAAUGUUUCUCAUAAACCCUUUCUAACCUUUCAUGUGGGAUAUUUAGAAGUCUCCUAAUCCUUCAUGCUACCCAAAAAUCUAUCUCCUUUCUGAUCCAUACUACUACCAGUGUUCCUGUACCAAAAUAACAGUUUCAUCAUGUUGUUUCAUUUGGAGUAGGACCAAUGGCUCACCACUGCCUAGAGAUUUGUGUCCAAAGUCCUUUCCGUGUCUCCCAAUAUCCCCAGUCAUCCAGCUGUCGCCUACUCUUGAGAAGAGUUCAAGAUGACAUUCAUCAGAAUUGGAGAGACACUUGCUUGUCACACUUCUUGAAGAGAAGGAGUCUACAAUGCACAAGGCUGCCUCCACCGGCUUCUCCUCAACACUUUCCAGUUUACCUAUUGCCAUGGAAUUUCAUGCCUCUCCAAAUAUUUUUCUGUUAAAUAAAGUACUUACUGAUCAUCA